GAACGCGAAGAACCUUACCUGGUCUUGACAUGUACGGAAUCCUCCAGAGACGGAGGAGUGCCUUCGGGAGCCGUAACACAGGUGCUGCAUGGCUGUCGUCAGCUCGUGUCGUGAGAUGUUGGGUUAAGUCCCGCAACGAGCGCAACCCUUGUCAUUAGUUGCCAUCAUUAAGUUGGGCACUCUAAUGAGACUGCCGGUGACAAGCCGGAGGAAGGUGGGGAUGACGUCAAGUCCUCAUGGCCCUUAUGACCAGGGCUUCACACGUCAUACAAUGGUCGGUACAGAGGGUAGCCAAGCCGCGAGGUGGAGCCAAUCUCACAAAACCGAUCGUAGUCCGGAUUGCACUCCGCAACUCGAGUGCAUGAAGUCGGAAUCGCUAGUAAUCGCAGGUCAGCAUACUGCGGUGAAUACGUUCCCGGGUCUUGUACACACC
rnacentral:rRNA from 1 species